AUUGAACGCUGGCGGCAGGCCUAACACAUGCAAGUCGAACGGAAACAGAUCGCUGUGAUCCCUUCGGGGUGAACUUUGGAUGCUGUCGAGUGGCGGACGGGUGAGUAAUGCUUGGGAAUCUACCCAGUAGUGGGGGACAACACGGGGAAACUCGUGCUAAUACCGCAUACGUCCUACGGGAGAAAGUGGGGGGAUCUUCGGACCUCACGCUAUUGGAUGAGCCCAAGUCGGAUUAGCUUGUUGGUGGGGUAAAAGCUCACCAAGGCGACGAUCCGUAGCUGGUCUGAGAGGACGAUCAGCCACACUGGGACUGAGACACGGCCCAGACUCCUACGGGAGGCAGCAGUGGGGAAUAUUGGACAAUGGGGGCAACCCUGAUCCAGCAAUGCCGCGUGUGUGAAGAAGGCCUGCGGGUUGUAAAGCACUUUCAGUAGAGAAGAAAUGCCUGGGGUUAAUACCCCCGGGUCUUGACGUAACCUACAGAAGAAGCACCGGCUAACUCCGUG
rnacentral:rRNA from 1 species